rnacentral:rRNA from 1 species
CCUGUCCCGAAGAGUUUGGAGCUAUAUAUUUAUACUUUUUAGAGUGGCCCCCUCUUUUUGUGGCAAAAUAAAAGGGGAAAUGGUUAUAUAGGAGUGAAAGGCUUCUCAUCUACUCUGAUAUCUGGAUUUUAAGUACAAGUAUUUAGUACUUUAAGAGCAAUUUUAUAGUGUUAAGAUUAUAAAAGCCCAGAGAAAUAGUCCCCCAUUAUUUAUGUUGGCUAAAUCCCUCCGUAGCUUUUUUAGUCCCUUAUUAUCCCUCUCCCCCCUCCUGUGUUUUCCCUACUUAACUAUACUUAUGCUAUUAUUGCCUUUGUAUAAAUAAUGUAAAAAUUAGUAUUAUGGAAUGAUUUAAAACUUCUUAAAGGAACUCGGCAAACCCCAUGGUCAUCUGUUUAACAAAAACAUAGCUUAUAGCCUAUUUUAUUUUAAGUACUCUCUGCCCAGUGUGGAGGACGUAUCUUCUUUCUUUAUUAACGGCCGCAGUACUUUGACUGUGCUAAGGUAGCAUAAUAAAUUGGCUUUUAAUUGAAGUCUGGAAUAAAAGAGGUAAUGAACCCUUAGCUGUCUUUAAGCAGUUUAUUAUAAAUUACUUAAAAAGGUGAAAACUCCUUUAAUUACCUAUUAGACAAGAAGACCCUAAGAGCUUUAUUUUUUUGUUGGGGCGACAGGGUGACAAAAUUAACUCACCUCUUUUUUUUGAGAUACAUAUCAUUUAUUUAAUAAACAGCACAAGCUACCUUAGGGAUAACAGCAUAAUAUUUUAGUUUUGCUUAUGACCUCGAUGUUGGAUUAGGGAGGUUUUAUAUCAGACGUAUAAAAUAUCUUGUUCUGUUCGAACAAAAACCCCUACAUGAUCUGAGUUCAGACCGGCGUAAGCCAGGUCAGUU